UGUGUAACAAGGUUUCCGUAGGUGAACCUGCGGAAGGAUCAUUA
rnacentral:rRNA from 1 species